CUCAUGACGAGAUUGUUCUUUCAUCUUCUCCUUCAUGAUACGAAUGAUAUCAGUUACAGAAUAUUCCACUUAAAACCUUCCAGUAAUCCAUCACCCACAAUUUAUAAUCAAUGCGAGUCUUAAUUUCCAAGGCGGUGGAGAUUGACUAUAAAACGGUAAUGUCCGCCAUGGUGAUGCCCGCAAGCUCCAUCACUUGGUUCAUCACAACUGAUUUGGAUGUCAGAGAAAUGAACAGGGUUUGGUUGCGGACGAUGACAACAAGAAAGUCUCGGAAGUAACAUAGAUUCUGGUUAAGCGAUUGGGUCAGUUAAAAAUAAAGAAGAAAGCUAUUGUAGAAACAGAGGAAAUAAGAAAAUCCAAAAGCUAAAGCCAUGAAAAUUAUUGCUGAAAUGGAAUCUUAUUCGGAAAUAGGAAAAGUUGUUGACAUGAGCUCUUUCGGAAAUAAGGCUACACUGAUUCUGGAGUUGUUACAGCCAGAUUCUGGAGUAGAAACCCUUCCCAGAUUGUAAGAACACUGAUAAAGCAAUGAUGCUUGCUCUACUGAAAUCAGCUGCUGCAUCGAUAGCCUUUUGCUCAAUUGUUAAUCCUGGAAAGAUUGAAGAAUGUAGAAUUAGUGGCAGUUGUUUGAUUGCCAUUGAAAAGAGUAGAAGUUUGUAUUGGAAGAAAGUGCAAGAAGUAAGGAGGAGUUGUGUUAUUGGAUGAGUUUCAGAAGACAACGACGGUCAUGGAAGGUUCUGUCGUGCUUGCAAGUGCUUGGGGAAGUGAUGAGAUUGUCAAAAUGGUAAAGUACUAAACGAGUCUGAUCUGUGAUGACUUUCUGUUAACACCUAUAAAGGCCAUUUUUAUUGGAGUUGGGCUGCAGGAUGUGGAAAUUAUUGUGGUAAAAAGAUACUUUAUUUCUCUGUAUAAUACGUUAUGGAGUCAUUCCCAGAAUGUAAGAACACCCAUAAAGAUUGAAGCUAUCUCUAUAUGAUACGGCCUCCUCUCUCCC